rnacentral:rRNA from 1 species
CGUGCAGGCGGUUUGACAAGUUGGAUGUGAAAGCUCCCGGCUUAACUGGGAGAGGUCGUUCAAUACUGUCAGACUAGAGAAUGGGAGAGGGAGGUGGAAUUCCGGGUGUAGUGGUGAAAUGCGUAGAUAUCCGGAGGAACACCAGUGGCGAAAGCGGCCUCCUAGACCAUUUCUGACGCUAAGACGCGAAAGCUAGGGUAGCAAACAGGAUUAGAUACCCUGGUAGUCC